AUUGAACGCUGGCGGCAUGCCUAACACAUGCAAGUCGAACGGUAACGCGGGGGCAACCCUGGCGACGAGUGGCGGACGGGCGAGUAAUACGUAGGAAUCUGCCCAUUUGUGGGGGAUAACCCGGCGAAAGCCGGGCUAAUACCGCAUACGCUCUACGGCGGAAAGCAGGGGAUCGUAAGACCUUGCUCUAAUGGUUGAGCCUACGUCGGAUUAGCUAGUUGGUAGGGUAACGGCCUACCAAGGCGACGAUCCGUAGCUGGUCUGAGAGGAAGGUCAGCCACACUGGGAAUGAGAAACGGCCCAGACUCCUACGGGAGGCAGCAGUGGGGAAUAUUGGACAAGGGGGGAAACCCUGUGCAAGCAAGGCGGGGUGUGGGAAGAAGGCCUGCGGGUUGUAAGGCACUUUCAGAGGGGAAGAAAAGAUGGGAGCUAACACCGCCGAGCUUGACGUUACCCUUAGAAGAAGCACCGGCUAACUCCGUGCCAGCCGCCGCCGUAA
rnacentral:rRNA from 1 species